rnacentral:rRNA from 1 species
UACAGGGGGGGCAAGCGUUUGUUCGGAAUUACUGGGCGUAAAGGGUUUGUAGGUGGCCACUUAAGUCAGACGUGAAAUCCCUCAGCUUAACUGGGGAACUGCGUCUGAUACUGAGUGGCUUGAGUGCAGGAGAGGAACGCGGAAUUCCAGGUGUAGCGGUGAAAUGCGUAGAUAUCUGGAGGAACACCGGUGGCGAAGGCGGCGUUCUGGACCGGUAUUGACGCUGAGGCGCGAAAGCUAGGGGAGCAAACGGGG